rnacentral:rRNA from 1 species
CAAGUUGAUAGUGAAAGCGUCCGGCUCAACCGGAUAAACAUUAUCAAAACUGCCAAGCUAGAGGACGAGAGAGGUAAUUGGAAUUCCUAAUGUAGGGGUAAAAUCCGUUGAUAUUAGGAGGAACACCGAUGGCGUAGGCAGAUUACUGGCUCGUUCCUGACACUAAGGCACGAAAGCGUGGGGAGCAAACAGGAUUAGAUACCCUGGUAGUCCACGCCGUAAACGAUGGAUGCUA